rnacentral:rRNA from 1 species
UGUGUGUUAGUGGAAGCGUCUGGAAAGGCGCGCGAUACAGGGUGACAGCCCCGUACACAAAAAUGCACAUACUGUGAGCUCGAUGAGUAGGGCGGGACACGUGGUAUCCUGUCUGAAUAUGGGGGGACCAUCCUCCAAGGCUAAAUACUCCUGACUGACCGAUAGUGAACCAGUACCGUGAGGGAAAGGCGAAAAGAACCCCGGCGAGGGGAGUGAAAAAGAACCUGAAACCGU